GAAUUUCCCAUUUCAUGAACUACUUCAGAC
rnacentral:piRNA from 1 species